UACGUAGGGCGCAAGCGUUGUCCGGAAUUAUUGGGCGUAAAGAGCUCGUAGGCGGUCUGUCGCGUCGGCUGUGAAAUCCCGGAGCUCAACUCCGGGUCUGCAGUCGAUACGGGCAUCGCUGGAGUGCGGCAGGGGAGACUGGAAUUCCUGGUGUAGCGGUGGAAUGCGCAGAUAUCAGGAGGAACACCGGUGGCGAAGGCGGGUCUCUGGGCCGUUACUGACGCUGAGGAGCGAAAGCGUGGGGAGCGAACAGG
rnacentral:rRNA from 1 species